rnacentral:rRNA from 1 species
GAUGAACGCUGGCGGCGUGCCUAAUACAUGCAAGUCGAGCGAACGGACGAGAAGCUUGCUUCUCUGAUGUUAGCGGCGGACGGGUGAGUAACACGUGUAUAACCUACCUAUAAGACUGGGAUAACUUCGGGAAACCGGAGCUAAUACCGGAUAAUAUUUUGAACCGCAUGGUUCAAAAGUGAAAGACGGUCUUGCUGUCACUUAUAGAUGGAUCCGCGCUGCAUUAGCUAGUUGGUAAGGUAACGGGUUACCAAGGCAACGAUGCAUAGCCGACCUGAGAGGGUGAUAGGCCACCCUGGAACUGGGACAGGGACCAGGGGUCUACGGGAGGGCGCAGUAGGGUAUGUUCCGCAAUGGGGGAAAGCCUUACGGAGCAACGCCGCGUGAGUGGUGGAAGUCUUCCGAUCGGAAAACUCUGUUAUUAGGGAAGAACAUAUGUGUAAGUAACUGUGCACAUCUUGACGGUACCUAAUCAGAAAGCCACGGCUAACUACGUG